UACGUAGGAGGCAAGCGUUGUCCGGAAUUACUGGGCGUAAAGCGCGUGUAGGUGGUGGGACAAGUCUGCUGUGAAAGCGCCUGGCUUAACCGGGCGAGGUCGGCGGAAACUGCCUCACUUGAGGACGGUAGAGGGGGGUGGAAUUCCCGGUGUAGUGGUGAAAUGCGCAGAUAUCGGGAAGAACACCCGUGGCGAAGGCGGCUCUCUGGGACGGUACUGACGCUGAGACGCGAAAGCGUGGGGAGCGAACAGG
rnacentral:rRNA from 1 species